rnacentral:misc_RNA from 1 species
AAAAACCCUAAAAAAAACCCCAAAAAAUGCUUCUACAACCCACCACCACCGUUAAACCUCCACAUCAAAAAACUGAAAAGUAUGUCUCUUUUUCUUCGUCCCUAUCUUAUUCACUGUCUUUUCCAUCUGGGUUUUGCAAUUUGGGUGGUUUUACUAAACCCUUGAUGUGUUCAAAGAAUCAUCAUUCAGUUAUUAGCUGUUCAUCAACAUCACAGGUGCAUAGCUAUGGGACUGUUGACUAUGAGAGGCG